rnacentral:rRNA from 1 species
GACGAACGCUGGCGGCGUGCCUAAUACAUGCAAGUUGAGCGCUGAAGGUUGGUACUUGUACCAACUGGAUGAGCAGCGAACGGGUGAGUAACGCGUGGGGAAUCUGCCUUUGAGCGGGGGACAACAUUUGGAAACGAAUGCUAAUACCGCAUAAAAACUUUAAACACAAGUUUUAAGUUUGAAAGAUGCAAUUGCAUCACUCAAAGAUGAUCCCGCGUUGUAUUAGCUAGUUGGUGAGGUAAAGGCUCACCAAGGCGAUGAUACAUAGCCGACCUGAGAGGGUGAACGGCCACAUUUGGAAUGAGACACGGCCCAAACCUCUAAGGGAGGCAGCAGGAGGGAAUCUUCGGCAAUGGACGAAAGUCUGACCGAGCAACGCCGCGUGAGUGAAGAAGGGUUUCGGAUCGUAAAACUCUGUUGGUAGAGAAGAACGUUGGGGAGAGUGGAAAGCUCAUCAAGUGACGGUAACUACCCAGAAAGGGACGGCUAACUACGUG